rnacentral:rRNA from 1 species
UACGUAGGGGGCAAGCGUUGUCCGGAUUUAUUGGGCGUAAAGAGCGUGUAGGCGGCCAGGUAGGUCAGCUGUGAAACUCGAGGCUCAACCUCGAGAUGUCGGCUGAAACCAUCUGGCUAGAGUCCGGAAGAGGAGAAUGGAAUUCCUGGUGUAGCGGUGAAAUGCGCAGAUAUCAGGAAGAACACCAAUAGCGAAGGCAGCUCGCUGGGACGUUACUGACACUGAGGCGCGAAAGCGUGGGGAGCGAACAGG